GAGAGCGCAGAGAGGCGGAGAAACAAAAUUCGAAAACAGAUUUAAGCCAAGUUUGAAAGCUUGCAUCUGUUUGCUAGUGCUAUGAGAAAACGUCGUUGUAGAGGCCUGGGUGUUAAAACAAAACACUGGAACUGCUUUUUUGCCGAACACGAGUGAGACUGGACGCUGUAUACACCUGCAACGCGAAGGUGUCACCACUUUGUCCACGACAUCGUCCACUGAGACGUCGUCCACGAUCGCAGAGACAUGGUCCAUGAUCGGAGAGACAUUGUUGAGGAUGAGGGAGACAUCGUCCACGAUCAGAGACAUUGUCCACGAUCGCAAAAACCUUGUCAAAGAUGAGAGAGACGUUGUCCAUGAUCAGAGACAUUGCCCAUGCUUCGUAGAGACCUUGCGAUAGAAUCGGCGGAGACGGGGGUCACCGAUUUGACGGCAUUGCCCGCGAUCAGGGACAUUGUCGAUGGUCACAGAGACAGCGUCUAUGAUCUCAGAGACAUCGUCCACGAUCACAAAGACACAGUCCAUGAUCACAGAGACAUUGUCCAUAAUCUCAGAGACAUUGUCCGCGAUCACAGAGACGCAGUCCACGAUCACAGAGUCUUCGUACAAUGAAGAAGUUCUUUGAGACCAGGACAGAGGCCUCCAGGUGUUACCACUUUGUCCACGACAUCGUCCGCUGAGACGUCGUCCACGAUCGCAGAGACAUGGUCCAUGAUCGGAGAGACAUUGUUGAGGAUGAGGGAGACAUCGUCCACGAUCAGAGACAUUGUCCACGAUUGCAAAGACCUUGUCAAAGAUGAGAGAGACGUUGUCCAUGAUCAGAGACAUUGCCCAUGCUUCGUAGAGACCUUGCGAUAGAAUCGGCGGAGACGGGGGUCACCGAUUUGACGGCAUUGCCCGCGAUCAGGGACAUUGUCGAUGGUCACAGAGACAGCGUCUAUGAUCUCAGAGACAUCGUCCACGAUCACAAAGACAUAGUCCAUGAUCACAGAGACAUUGUCCAUAAUCUCAGAGACAUUGUCCGCGAUCACAGAGACGUAGUCCACGAUCACAGAGUCUUCGUACAAUGAAGAAGUUCUUUGAGACCAGGACAGAGGCCUCCAGGUAAUUCACAAACAAGUUUACAUCAACUGUCCAACACAGAGCACUGACAUUAAAUGUUUAUGUUCAGUUUUCAGUAUAUCAGAAAAG